GACGAACGCUGGCGGCGUGCUUAACACAUGCAAGUCGAACGGAAAGGCCCUUCGGGGUACUCGAGUGGCGAACGGGUGAGUAACACGUGGGUGAUCUGCCCUGCACUUUGGGAUAAGCCUGGGAAACUGGGUCUAAUACCGAAUAUGAUCAUCGGCUUCAUGGUCGGUGGUGGAAAGCUUUUGCGGUGUGGGAUGGGCCCGCGGCCUAUCAGCUUGUUGGUGGGGUAAUGGCCUACCAAGGCGACGACGGGUAGCCGGCCUGAGAGGGUGACCGGCCACACUGGGACUGAGAUACGGCCCAGACUCCUACGGGAGGCAGCAGUGGGGAAUAUUGCACAAUGGGCGCAAGCCUGAUGCAGCGACGCCGCGUGAGGGAUGACGGCCUUCGGGUUGUAAACCUCUUUCAGCACAGACGAAGCGCAAGUGACGGUAGGUGCAGAAGAAGGACCGGCCAACUACGUG
rnacentral:rRNA from 1 species